rnacentral:lncRNA from 1 species
UUUCCUUUGCUCUCUAGAAGUGGAGUCAUGGAAAGAAACAUCGCAGAGGCAUCUCAAGAAGCAGAUGAUGACAAAUGUCUCAUUCAAAUCUCUGAUCUUCCCGGCGGAGACAAAACCUUCGAGCUAAUCGCCAAGUUCUGCUACGGUGUAAAACUCGAACUCACCGCUUCCAACGUUGUACACCUCAGAUGCGCAGCUGAGCAUCUCGAAAUGACUGAAGAGAACGCCGAAGGAAACCUAAUCUCCCAAACCGAAACUUUCCUCAACCAAGUCGUCCUCAAAAGCUGGAAAGACUCAAUAAAAGCCCUCCAAACCUGCAGCGAGGUCUCCCACUACGCUGAGGAGUUAAACAUCACCAAGAAAUGCAUAGAGUCGCUAGCCGUGAGAGCAUCAACAACAGACCCGAACCUUUUCGGAUGGCCGGUCGUGGACCCCAUGCAGAGUCCAGGUGGCAGCGUGUUAUGGAACGGCAUAAGCACGGGUGCUAGAGUUAAACACACUAGCUCAGAUUGGUGGUACGAGGACGCGUCCACACUUAGCUUUCCUCUCUUUAAGAGACUCAUCACAGUCAUGGACUCACGAGGAGGCGUAAGAGAAGACAUCAUCGCCGGUUCUUUAACUUACUACACAAGAAAACACUUACCCGGUUUAAAACGACGCCGUGGAGGACCUGAAGCUAGCGGUCGUUUCAGCAGCUCAGGGACGGUACUCUCCGAAGAAGAGCAGAAGCACUUGCUCGAAGAGAUCCAAGACCUUCUCCCCGUGCAAAAAGGUUUAGUCCCGACCAAGUUCUUCGUCGACAUGCUCAGAGUCGCCAAGAUUCUGAAGGCUAGCCCUAGCUGCGUAGCUAACUUGGAGAAGAGGAUAGGGAUGCAGCUCGACCAGGCGGCGUUGGAGGAUCUUGUGAUGCCUAGCUUUACUCAUACGAUGGAGACUCUAUACGAUGUUGACUCUGUGCAGAGGAUCUUGGAUCAUUUUCUUGGUACUGAUCAGAUUAUGACUGUUGGUGGUGGUGUUGGCUCUCCUUGCUCUUCGGUGGAUGAUGGGAACUUGAUGGGAUCACCGCAGAGGAUAACGCCGAUGAUGGCGGUUUCGAAGCUGAUUGAUGGGUAUCUUGCUGAAGUGGCUCCUGAUGUUAAUCUCAAGCUUCCGAAGUUUCAAACCUUAGCUGGUUCUGUUCCUGAGUGUGCUAGGCUCUUGGAUGAUGGACUAUAUCGCGCAAUAGACAUUUACUUAAAGGUAAGAAUUGUUUUUUAUAGCGCUGAACUGAAGUAAGACCGAACCGACCAAACUAAAUUUUUCUGUUUUCGGUUUAACAUCCGGUAGAACCAAUAAACCAAUCUGCCCAUUUUUAAAAUUUUAAUCGGUUUUUGGUUCGGUUCCGCAAGCAAGAACCGAUCAGUUUGAAACAUAUUUAACCAAAAAAACUGAAUAAACAGAAAUAACCUGAAACAAACUGAAUAAACCCGGAAAAUUAAAAUUUACAUAACCGAGUUUUUGUUUUUACCAAAUUAACCGAAUGAACCGAUAUGUUAAACAAAUUUUGGUUCAAUUCGGAAUAAAUAAUAAUACCGAAAACCUACCCGAAUAAUCCGAAUUCCGAACCAAAUAAAACCAAAAUAUAGUUCGGUUUCCAAAACCGAAAAACCGAAUAAACCAACCCAAAAAACCGAAAAAAACUAAUGUCCAACUCUACUGUUUUAUUUAACAAAGACUUAUUAAGUUGCUUCUUUUAUUCAUUUGAUGAUCUGCAGCAUCAUCCGUGGUUAGCGGAAACAGAGAGAGAGAAUCUUUGCAGGUUGUUAGACUGCCAGAAGCUCUCUUUAGAAGCUUGCACACACGCGGCGCAGAACGACAGAUUACCACUAAGAGUAAUCGUCCAAGUCCUCUUCUUUGAGCAGCUUCAGCUUAGAACCUCUGUAGCUGGAUGCUUCCUGGUUUCAGACAACCUCGAUGGUGGGUCAAGGCAGUUAAGAAGCGGCGGAUUUGCAGGAGGAUCAGCCGAAGGAGGAGGAGGAGGAUGGGCAAGUGCAGUAAGAGAGAAUCAAGUCUUGAAAGUUGGGAUGGACAGUAUGAGGAUGAGGGUUUGCGAGUUGGAGAAUGACUUGUAUGGUAUCUAUAAAAUGGUCUCUACGGAGAGGGAGCAUAUUAUAACCUUACUCGCACGCCAAAGAUUAGUGAGAAGGAUUGGAUUCUUUGAGUAAAGAUUAGGACGUAAUUAAUCAAACUUUCACACUUUAUGUAAUGUUAGCUACAAACAAAAAUGUUUGCUAAUUUCAAGAAUCAACACAAUGAGUAUGUUUGAAGAUACAAAGGAGUGAAGGACCCUCCAAGUGCAUGUGCUCAUAAUAAUAAUAAUUAAAAAAAUCUUCUAAUAUAAAUUUCGAGAUUUUCAAAUGUCCACCUUUUAUUACACUAUAUGGAUUAAAAUAAAGUUUCUAGAUUCUAAAGCAACCAAUACAAAAACACAAAAUAUUAACUAUAUUUAAUUUAAUUUUACUUUUUCCUUAUUACCAGACAUCAAUCAAUUGGCUAUAUGGUCCCCCUUACAUGUAUAUUCUCGUAUAAAGCAACAAGAACUGGUAAGUUACUUCUCUGCUUAGCUGUUCUUGUCUAGCUGGGUUUUUGGGGGUUCAGCUUCUUUCUUUCUUUUCAUUACUUUGCUGGGGGAAAAGGUUUUAAUUUGGUGUUACAGAUAAGAUUAUUUAAGAUUCUGAGUUUCUUUUAGUGGGGGGCUUUGGCCAAGGGGAUCUCUCUAUAUUAUUACACAUUCCGUGUGAUUCUUUUGGGCGUUGAGGUUUUAAUUUCUGGAAGAUUAAUGUGAGCUACUGAGUGUGGAGAAAGGAGGCAGCUUUUAAGUGUUUGUUCAAAUGUCUGAGUGAAAUUGAUCUGGGUAUUAAGGGAUAGAUCCAAAGUCUCUUUCUUUCUGAGAAAAUUAGCAGUUUUUUUUUUUUUUGGUUUGGUUGUUGUACGUUAGGGUUUUUGGAGGCUUAGCUAUUGUAAGUUUCUUUGUUGGAUUCUGUUGAGUGAGAGAAAGUAUGGCUUGCAUGAAGCUGGGAUCCAAAUCUGAUGCUUUCCAGAGACAAGGCCAGGCUUGGUAUAUUCACUUGCUCUCUACUUGUUUUAUAGUCUAUCUUUGUUCCAUUUUUUGCCCCUUCUUGAUUCUCCUCCUAAUGUCUCAUACUGGAUUUGAGACCUUUGGUCUCAGCAUUACUGAGUCAAAGUUUCCUCCUUUGUCUUCUUCUUUUUUGUGCUCAAAUAUUACAGGUUUUGCACAACUGGACUUCCAAGUGAUGUUGUCGUUGAAGUUGGGGAAAUGUCUUUCCAUCUCCACAAGGUAAACUUGAUUUGCUUGCUUGAACAAGACAACACUCUCUUCUUGAUGAAUCCUUACACUUACUGUAGAAACCAGUGUGUACCAAGCCUCCUCUUUGAGAAAAAAAAAUAAAGUUUUUCUUAUAGGCUUUUUGAUUCUGUGCUAUGUGCAGUUUCCUUUGCUCUCUAGAAGUGGAGUCAUGGAAAGAAACAUCGCAGAGGCAUCUCAAGAAGCAGAUGAUGACAAAUGUCUCAUUCAAAUCUCUGAUCUUCCCGGCGGAGACAAAACCUUCGAGCUAAUCGCCAAGUUCUGCUACGGUGUAAAACUCGAACUCACCGCUUCCAACGUUGUACACCUCAGAUGCGCAGCUGAGCAUCUCGAAAUGACUGAAGAGAACGCCGAAGGAAACCUAAUCUCCCAAACCGAAACUUUCCUCAACCAAGUCGUCCUCAAAAGCUGGAAAGACUCAAUAAAAGCCCUCCAAAC